rnacentral:rRNA from 1 species
CCUACGGGUGGCAGCAGUGAGGAAUAUUGGUCAAUGGGCGAGAGUCUGAACCAGCCAAGUAGCGUGAAGGAAGACUGCCCUAUGGGUUGUAAACUUCUUUUGUAGAGGAGUAAAGCGAGGCACGCGUGCCUGUUGGCAUGUACUUUAUGAAUAAGGAUCGGCUAACCCCGGUCCAGCCGCCGCGGUAAUACGGAGGAAUCGAGCCUUAAUCGGAUUUGUUGGGUUUAAAAGGAUCGUAGGUCGGUUUUUAAGUCCGUUGGGAAAGUUUUCGGCGUAAACGUGAGAUUGCAGUUGAUACUGGCGGUCUUGAGUACACUUGAGGUAGGCGGAAUGCGUGGUGUAGCGGUGAAAUGCUUAGAUAUCACGAAGAACCCCGAUUGCGAAGGCAGCUUACUA